GCUGGGCGUGGUGGCGGGCGCCUGUAAUCCCAGCUACUUGGGAGGCUGAGGCAGGAGAAUCACUUGAACCCAGGAGUCGGAGGUUGCGGUGAACUGAUAUCGUGCCACUGCAUUCCAGCCUGGGUGACAGAGUGAGAUUCUGUCUCAA
rnacentral:SRP_RNA from 1 species